rnacentral:rRNA from 1 species
CCUACGGGAGGCAGCAGUGAGGAAUAGUGGUCAAUGGACGCAAGUCUGAACCAGCCAUGCCGCGUGCAGGAUGAAGGCUCUAUGAGUUGUAAACUGCUGUUGUACGAGGGUAAACCCCGAUACGUGUAUCGGGUUGAAAGGAUCGUACGAAUAAGGAACGGCUAACUCCGUGCCAGCAGACGCGGUAAUACGGAGGAUCCGAGCGUUAUCCGGAUUUAGUGGGGUGCAAGGGUGCGUAGGCGGUUUGAUAAGUUAGAGGUGAAAUUUCGGGGCUCCACCCCGCACCUGCCUCUUAUACUGUUGGCCUAGAGCAUAGUUGCGGUAGGCGGAAUGUCUUGUGUAGCGGU